GCAGUCGACGGUACAGGAAGCAGCUUGCUGCUUCGCUGACGAGUGGCGGACGGGUGAGUAAUGUCUGGGAAACUGCCUGAUGGAGGGGGAUAACUACUGGAAACGGUAGCUAAUACCGCAUAAUGUCGCAAGACCAAAGAGGGGGACCUUCGGGCCUCUUGCCAUCGGAUGUGCCCAGAUGGGAUUAGCUUGUUGGUGGGGUAACGGCUCACCAAGGCGACGAUCCCUAGCUGGUCUGAGAGGAUGACCAGCCACACUGGAACUGAGACACGGUCCAGACUCCUACGGGAGGCAGCAGUGGGGAAUAUUGCACAGUGGGCGCUAGCCUGAUGCAGCCAUGCCGCGUGUAUGAAGAAGGCCUUCGGGUUGUAAAGUACUUUCAGCGGGGAGGAAGGGAGUAAAGUUAAUACCUUUGCUCAUUGACGUUACCCGCAGAAGAAGCACCGGCUAACUCCGUGCCAGCAGCCGCGGUAAUACGGAGGGUGCAAGCGUUAAUCGGAAUUACUGGGCGUAAAGCGCACGCAGGCGGUUUGUUAAGUCAGAUGUGAAAUCCCCGGGCUCAACCUGGGAACUGCAUCUGAUACUGGCAAGCUUGAGUCUCGCAGAGGGGGGUAGAAUUCCAGGUGUAGCGGUGAAAUGCGUAGAGAUCUGGAGGAAUACCGGUGGCGAAGGCGGCCCCCUGGA
rnacentral:rRNA from 1 species